CCCUUCUCUUUUAACACCCAUCAUUCCAUUCACGACACCCAACACCCCCACAAGCUCGAACUCAACUCCAGCACUUGCCUUGCCUUCUCUCUCCUAGAAUAGAAUAUUCCCAAAGAUAUAUUUCUGCAAUCUAUGGAGUUUCUUUCUUGAUUCAAAAGGCCGCAAUAAAGGUGUGAGCUCUGAGAUAUUUCUGCGCAAAUCUUGGCUUGUAGACCGUAGAUCCCCACCAUUUGUUCUAAAAGGCGAACUGGGUUUCUAUCACUUUUGUCUUUUGGUUCAUAAUUCCCAUGGUUUUUAGUUUGUCACUCCAGGAAGUUAAUGCUCCCACUUCUGCUGGACUUGCUGCUUACAUUGUCACUCAUUUUUUCAUAAGUGUUCCUAGACUUUAAGAGUGUUACUAUAAUGUCAAAAACAUUUGAGGUAAGGAGGGCUUUGGAAGUGCAGUUUGCAGUUACUUGCCUUAAAUCUACUUGCUUCUACUCCAGAUGGGUUGAAUAAUGAAGGGCUCUACCUUUUAGAGUUGAAGAAAAGUAUGCAAGAUGGAUUUGAUUCUUUGGGAAAUUGGAACUCCUCCGAUCAGACACCUUGCAGAUGGAUGGGAGUAAAUUGCUCUUCCAAUUACGAUCCAGUGGUCAAAGGUUUUGGAAUUACUGGUCUUCGAUUCCACCUCCCCUCUCCUCUACCUGACCCUCCUCUUCUCCCUCCUCCUCUUCCUCUCCUACUUCUUCACUCUUACUCUUCCAUUUCCCCAAAAGUUCCUUCGGUUCUCCAUCACCACGCGGUUGCUCUCGGCAGUUUCCCAAAGUUUCGGGUUUUGAGCUCUGAUGAGAUCAGGAUUUCGGUCUGGAAUCAUACGGUUGACUCAUUCGUAGUGGGAGUUAUUUCUUCCCGAGUUGGAAAGUAGAAGCUUCAACUUUUAGCUCAGACCUUAAAGCCUCAAAAUUUUCACUUUAUCAGUCCAGUUAUUCUAGGCAAGCAUAACCCUUAUCAACAUCCUGUUUACAGAAGAAUAAAGUCAUUCUCAUGGUCCUUCUCUGGAAUGCAGUGUUAAUUCUUCGGACUUUCGACCUCUGCCGUCUGAUUCUCCUCAAUUAUGCUUGCACCAUUUGAACCAGAGUGAAUCUUAAGGUUGAUUUUUGCAUUUGUCGAACUCUAACUCUAUUUCCAUCUCUCUCACAGACAUACACACUAUGUCAAUGUUAAAACGUCAUCAUUCCUUAUUAUUCAAAAUUGGUCUUUGGUUCAUUUUAUUAGUAAAUUUUCAAUUCUCUGAUGGCUGCUAUUACAUGUUUGUCGGAUUGCAUUAUAGGCACAUACUUUUGCAUUUUAAGGUAUCAAGCUUCUUCUUGGUGAUAAUACUAACUAUUUGCACUCUGGAAAAUUCUUCAUUUGAUUCAAUAGGGUUUUUAAUUUCACUUUUUUGUUGCUGUGAAAUGUUUUUCCAAGCUAAAUCAUUGGAUUGCAAUUGCAAACCACGAACACUACCUCAGAAACCACAAACCCAGCUCCUCAAGUCCUCAGCACAAUGCAUUUAUGAAAUUGCUCAUUUUGACAACUGGGAUUGCCAGUUUCCUCCACCUCUUAUGUUGUUCACCAGCUUCACUGCAAAUAAGAUUAAACCAGGUCCCUUCCAAGUUUCAGCCACCGCUACCACCAGGACCUCAGCUAUCUUUCCGUUGUUCCUCAAAACUUUCAUAUUGCUAACAAUCUGUUGCUUGAAGUUCAUCCUUUUGAUUGUACGCUAGCUCUUGAUGUCAGCUUAAUUGAAUGUCAAUGAAAUCCAAACUCUUAUCCUAUCAUCUCACAUCACCCAAAGAUUGAUUGUACAGUAGAGAUGCAGAGGAUGGAAUCCGUGAAUUAGAUGAAAUGGAUGGUUCAUGGAUUGCAGUUGGCACCACCAUGGCCACGACGACAAAGAGGAGACGUUGUUGGCGAUAUCGAAGCUCCUCAAGGAAUUGACCGAGGAGGACAUGAAAGUACAGAUUUGGAUUUCAUCAGCACGACCAAGAUCAUGAGCAUUUUGAUGGUCUGCAGCUCUCAGUUCUUGGCAUUUCUUCUUACAUUUAAUCUGGUUGAAUUUUUUAUUUUGUGGGUUUGGAAAUUCAAGGUUUUUUUUCUGCAAUUUAUAUUUCCAUUUAAGUUUUUGAACUGUUCUGUUUGGUUGCCAGUAUGAUUACUUAUAGACUAUUUCGCCAUAUGCAUUUGCUACAAAAUGUAAACUUAUAUUAAAUGAAACAUGUUGAAGUCUCUUUGCAUUUGCGUAAGCUAUCGUGUGUUGUUAAAAGUGAGGGGGCAUCUAGCAUACAACACACACGCCAUGGUUGUACAACUAAGUUUGCCAUGGAAGGAUUUCUGGAUUUCUUCGAUAACUCUCCUUCAGCCAAGCUUCUGCAUUUAUAUGAUCAUUGUCAAACGCUGUAGCAACUAUAAGUUUGUCAAAAUUUAUAAUUAUGGUUAUUGAUUGCUGGAAUUUUGAUCGUAGUGGUCCAGAUUUACUUGCUCAUGAUAUUUUUAUUGCUUUACUGUGAAAAGAUGGAUACUUUACUGCAAAAUAUGCUUAAUUUAAUGCAGAUUUGCUAGGUUUUUAAUACAAUUAGGUUAAUUGGAUAAUGUAUAUUGGCGAUUUUGCAGUAAGUACAAUGCUUUUUGUGUGCCUACUUCUCCGCUGAUUAACUUCUCACUCUUACAGGCUUAGAUUCAAAACCAUAAUGGAUUCCCCUUUUAACACGGGACCUCUUUGAAAACUCUCUAAUCAUCAUUGAUUGCAGACUAAAAUUUAAUGCGUUAAAUUUCCUUCCUCUUUCUUGUCCAAAUUUUCAGGUCUCCACAAUUGUUCAGGUUGUUGGCAUUAUUCUUUCCUUGCACGCAGCUACUAAAAUUUCGAGUAGAGCCCAAGGUAUAGCGACAUUUGCCUGUAGAUGGCAUGCGUUAAUGACAUGCAGUUCUAAUGAUUCACCGCAUAAGAGAAGUUCAGACAGUUUGGUGAACUUUGAGGCUGCCAACAGAUUGAGCUCACUGCAUACAAGUUAUUCUGAUAGUGAUUUGGAGUCAACGGAUUAUGUUCAUGUGCCUACAAAUUCCCAGCUGGCUUCACAUAGGGCUUCAUACCACAAGUAGACAAGCUUUUGAGUAUGCAUACACCAUGAGGGUUGCAGAAAAAUGUGACAUCCAUAGCUACGGGGUUGUUCUAUUAGAGUUGCUAACUGGAAGAACUCCAGUCCAAUCACUAGAUCAAGGAGGCCACUUGGUCACCUGGGUGAGACACUAUGUUCAAAACCAUUCAUUAACAUCUGGGAUACUCGAUAGUCGGUUAAAUCUUCAAGACAGACUUCUUGUUGAUCACAUGCUUAUUGUAUUAAAAAUUGCUUUGACUUUGCACAAGUAUGCCCCCAUUUGACUGUCCAACAACUCGAGAAGUUGUGUUGAUACUUUUUGAGUCUAAUGAGCAAGAUGGGGACUUUCUUCCGUCUCCAACUUUCAAUCUUCCUUCGAAAGAUGCUACGGAUCUUCUGAAAGACGAUGUAGAUCUUCCUUUGACAGAUGAUACUCGGUGAAAGUAUACGACACAUCCCUAGAUUUUAGUUA